rnacentral:rRNA from 1 species
GUGAAGCUGGAUUCGCUAGUAAUCGCGCAUCAGCCAUGGCGCGGUGAAUACGUUCCCGGGCCUUGUACACACCGCCCGUCAAGCCAUGGAAGCCGGGAGUGCCUGAAGUGUGCAACCGCAAGGAGCGCCCUAAGGUAAAACUGGUGACUGGGGCUAAGUCGUAACAAGGUAUC